GUGGGGAAUCUUCCGCAAUGGACGAAAGUCUGACGGAGCAACGCCGCGUGAGUGAAGAAGGUUUUCGGAUCGUAAAGCUCUUUCGUUAGGGACGAACGUGCUCUUUGUGAAUAAUGAGGAGUAAUGACGGUACCUAAAUAAGAAGCCACGGCUAACUACGUGCCAGCAGCCGCGGUAAUACGUAGGUGGCAAGCGUUGUCCGGAAUUAUUGGGCGUAAAGCGCGCGCAGGCGGGAUAUCAAGUCUGUCUUAAAAGUGCGAGGCUCAACCUCGUGAGGGGACAGCAACUGGUAUUCUUGAGUGUCGGAGAGGAAAGUGGAAUUCCAAGUGUAGCGGUGAAAUGCGUAGAGAUUUGGAAGAACACCAGUGGCGAAGGCGACUUUCUGGACGAUGACUGACGCUGAGGCGCGAAAGCUAGGGGAGCGAACGGGAUUAGAAACCCGUGUAGUCC
rnacentral:rRNA from 1 species